GGAGCUUGUUAAACUCAUCGAACAUAUACUUGACAGAAUACUCCCCAGCUGGAAGUCCCUUCACAAAUCCAUUAACCGUGGCCUCUGCCUCACGCUUAAACUUCACGCCUUCCUUUCUCUCUAUCGUGGACCUCCUCUUGCCCAGGCUCCUCUUAAAAACCGAGGGACUCACGGCGUUAGGCCAGUCAAACUCAUUGCAAAACCAGUCAGGCAGUCAAAUGUCUGUAACUUUUGGUGACUCUGGAUAACUCCCCCGCCGAUCGCAUGGCCUUCGAGCCGGCGACGCAUCUUUCAAAUGUCUGCUCUAUCACACUUUCGAUGGUAGGUUACGCGCCUACCAUGGUUGCAACGGGUAACGGAGAAUCGGGGUUCGAUUCCGGAGAGGGAGCCUGAGAAACGGCUACCACAUCCAAGGAAGGCAGCAGGCGCGCAAAUUACCCACUCCCGGCACGGGGAGGUAGUGACGAAAAAUAACGAUACGGGACUCUUCCGAGGCCCCGUGAUUGGAAUGAGUACACUUUAAAUCCUUUAACGAGGAACCAUUGGAGGGCAAGUCUGGUGCCAGCAGCCGCGGUAACUCCAGCUCCAAUAGCGUAUAUUAAAGUUGUUGCGGUUAAAAAGCUCGUAGUCGGAUGUAUGCCCAGGUCGGGCGGCGUUCUCGUGUCUCAACGGCUCGGUUCGCGUCAUCGUCUUUGGUGUUUAGGUGUCAAAGCCUAAUGCCAUUAACGGCCGGGCAACAUCGUCGGAGCGUACUGGCUCUGGGUGUUGUCGGGGUUUCGUGCCCCGUGAUAUCUAUCUAGUCGCAACCUAACUUGUUCGGGGUGCCCUUCACCGGGUGUCUCGGGCAGCCGACACUGUUUACUUUGAACAAAUAAGAGUGCUCAAAGCAGGUUUUACUUAUAGCCUGAAUUGUACAGCAUGGAAUAAUGGAACACGACUUUGGUCCGAUUUUGCUGGUUUUAUUAUGCGGAACCGAGGUAAUGGUCAAUGGGGACGGACGGGGGCAUCCGUACUAAGGCGACAGAGGUGAAAUUCUUGGACCGCAGUAAGACGAAUGACUGCGAAGGCAUUUGCCAAGAAUGCUCUCGUCGAUCAAGAACGAAAGUUAGAGGUUCGAAGGCGAUCAGAUACCGCCCUAGUUCUAACCAUAAACGAUGCCAACUAACGAUCCGUCGGAGUUACUCCAAUGACUCGACGGGCAGCUUCCGGGAAACCAAAGUUUUUGGGUUCCGGGGGAAGUAUGGUUGCAAAGCUGAAACUUAAAGGAAUUGACGGAAGGGCACCACCAGGAGUGGAGCCUGCGGCUUAAUUUGACUCAACACGGGAAACCUCACCAGGCCCGGACACUGGAAGGAUUGACAGAUUGAGAGCUCUUUCUUGAUUCGGUGGGUGGUGGUGCAUGGCCGUUCUUAGUUGGUGGAGCGAUUUGUCUGGUUAAUUCCGAUAACGAACGAGACUCUAGCCUGCUAAAUAGGUAGUGGGUUUUAUAAAGUUUUUCGGUCGUGGAGCAAUCUGCGAUCGGAAAAAAAACCGCAAGGGGGUACGGAGCCGUGGGGAUCAGGGUGUCGUGUGCGGCGUGGAAGUGCGGUGCGUUCGGCGGUCGCUUUCGGGUGGCUGUCGGGCGUAUCGUGCCCCGCGUCGUCGCGGCAUCCCCCCGCGUAACUCUUGCUCUCGCGUCCGCUACAUUACUUCUUAGAGGGACAAUCGGCGUCUAGCCGAGUGACAGUGCGCUAUCGUGACAGGGAAACAGAU
rnacentral:rRNA from 1 species